rnacentral:rRNA from 1 species
GACGAACACUGGCGGCGUGCUUAACACAUGCAAGUCGAGCGGUAAGGCCCUUUCGGGGGUACACGAGCGGCGAACGGGUGAGUAACACGUGGGUGACCUGCCCUUAGCUCUGGGAUAAGCCUGGGAAACUGGGUCUAAUACCGGAUAUGACUCCAUGACGCAUGUUGUGGGGUGGAAAGCCUUGUGCGGCUAGGGAUGGGCCCGCGGCCUAUCAGCUUGUUGGUGGGGUGAUGGCCUACCAAGGCGACGACGGGUAGCCGGCCUGAGAGGGCGACCGGCCACACUGGGACUGAGACACGGCCCAGACUCCUACGGGAGGCAGCAGUGGGAAUCUUGCGCAAUGGCGAAAGCCUGACGCAGCGACGCCGCGUGAGGGAUGACGGCCU